CAAUAGCGUAUAUUAAAGUUGUUGCAGUUAAAAAGCUCGUAGUUGGAUUUGUGGCGUACGGUGUGUUCCGGGCACUUGUUGCCUGAGUAACCUGCUGUUGCCAUCCUUGGGUGGAACCUGCGUGGCAUUAGGUUGUCGUGCAGGGGAUGCCCAUCAUUUACUGUGAAAAAAUUAGAGUGUUCAAAGCAGGCUUAUGCCGUUGAAUAUAUUAGCAUGGAAUAAUGAGAUAGGACUUUUUUGCUAUUUUGUUGGUUUGCGCAAAGAGGUAAUGAUUAAUAGGGACAGUUGGGGGUAUUCGUAUUCCAUUGUCAGAGGUGAAAUUCUUGGAUUUUUGGAAGACGAACUACUGCGAAAGCAUUUACCAAGGAUGUUUUCAUUAA
rnacentral:rRNA from 1 species